ensembl:lncRNA
UACCAUUGAGAGGGACUUAUACAUCCUGUAUUCUGUUGGGAACAUUUCAGGAGGCCAGGGUCUUGGAGGGGGUUAGACACCUGGAAAAACAGCCCUGGGCAAUUGAUCUCCAACCAGUGCAUUCUUACAGUAAGCGCUCAGGAAUGUGCCUGGUGGUCACGAGUUACUUUGCAUCUGGUGAACAUUAGAAAUGUAACCAAAGUCUCCAGAACAGUUGAGAGUGAUUGAGAGACUAAAAAAAAACUCUGCAUAAUGGCAAAAAGACCACCGAAAAACCUUAGGAGUUCUGUCAGCAGAUGGUGGUACCAGCAGCAGGACGCCCUCGCGAGAAAUGACAGCCAGGAUGGUGUCUGGCACAUCCUUACACAAACCAUCAAAGUGCUUCUGCCUCCUAGAGUCUGAAGGCUGCUGAAAACUCUGCUGACCUCACAGUCUGGAGCCCCAGGGGUGAAAUGUCAAAGGCUGCCCAUCACCAUCAACAGAAGAAAAAGCCAAGGAUGGCUGCCUUCUCUCUUCUGCCUUCCAAAUCUGCCACCAAUAGAUCUUACUGGCAGAGCCCAAAUUGUAUCUGAAACCCUGCUGACAAUGGAAUAUGAGAAAUGUUGUUCCCAGUUUUUUAGCCCCUGCGAAACAGGAGCGAUAUGAGUGUAAAAGGGGCCAGGCACCUAUAGACAAUAUCUGGCCCAUUUGUGAAUUACCAAAUUAAUGUGAGUAGUCCUGUUUGACUAGAAUAGAAAAAGCAUUGAAUAUGUAAAGAGAAGACUGAUUGUUGGUUGGAGAGAGUUGGAGAAGGGAAAAGAAAGUGAGAACACUAGACCAAAAAGUGGAAUGGGUUAAAUGGAUAUUUAUUAGAGAUCUAUUAUGGUCCUUAUCCAGCAAAGUUACAUCAUUAAAGCAGUCGUUUAGGACAGUGAUGUCACUGAUGUGAUAGAAACGACUUUGUGUGUGUGUGCUUUGGGAGUGGAAAGAAAGGAGUAAGGUAGAGACUUGAAGUAGGGACACAGUUUAAGAGACAAUUCUAGGAAUCCACAAAUGAGGUUAUGGAGGCUGUGGAUUAGGAUAAAAGUGGCAAGAAUGGAGACAAAAGAGCACAUGUGAGAGAUACGGUCCCUGGGUCCAGAAAGAGAACCUUGUCCCCAAGAAUAUUCUAGUAUCCAGCAGCAGCAGCAUACCACUUGACUGAUCUGUGCCUCCCACCCUGUCUCCUGGAGGAGCAUUUGAAUAGCUGUGAGGAGCUGCCCCUGGCAACGUCACAGCCCCACCAACCAGCCCAUCAGCAAGUCAUUCUUUCCUAAGAAAGGAUCCAGGUUUGCUUCUGCGUUUUUAUCUCCUUUUCUUAUUUCUUUGGAGUAGUUUCUCUAAAUCUGGAAAUGAGGUAAGAUGGGCCGAGAAAUUCCUCACGUUCCCUGUCUCUCCCACUGCCUGAGGAACUCCAAACUCCCUUGUCUCAACAUUCUUACAACUAACUAAUUGCAUUUUUGACUCCAGUCAUAGUGGAACACUGCUUCUGUCAGGCUGAUCUUACCAUUCAUUCAUUCAUUCACUCACAUGCUCUUCAAUCAACAAAUAUUUAUUGAGUAGCUAUUCUGUGCCAGGCCCUGCUGAGGAUUUAAAAGUUAAAAUAACAACAACAACAAAAUCCCUGCAUCAUGGAGCAUACAUCCUAGUAGGGAGAGGCAAACAAGAAGUAAAAUAUAGAGUAUGUUAGAAGAUAAGUGCAGGGAAGAAAAAUAGAGCAAAGUCCACCUUCGUAGAAUUCUCUUUCUUCUUUUUUUUUUUGCUGACUUUCCAAACUCAGCCUGCUUUUUGCGAUUCAGAGCAAAUUGUCUUUCUACUCUGUGCCUUUCCUAGCUUCUUCAGCUCACAACAACCUCAUCUCAUUCAACGCCUCUUCUUCUCUGUCCCUUGUCUUUGCAUACUGUUCAUGCAUGUAACCCUCCAUCUUCUGAAAAGCAUUGUAUAGAAUAGAUGUGCUCAGAUGUAAACAUAGGAGCUUGAGAAUUUUUCUUUUUAAAUGUUCAGUGAGAUCACACGACUUCUGUAGCAAGAUGGUAAUGUUCUAUAAGAGUCUAAUUGAUGUAUGUCAAGUCACGAAGUAAAACUUGGGAGAAUAAGACAUAAUGACCUAUAUUGGAAACGUGGAGUUAGGCAAUAAAAGAGAACGGUGGGGUCAAGGCUUGAUUGGGACAGAUUUACAAGAGAUGAAGAAGUGUUUGUAAUGAGAGGACAGAAGAAGAAAGGGGGUAGAAGGAAUUUAUCUGGAGUAGAACAUUUCGAGAGGAACAUUAUGAGAGGAAUAUCCAAGAAAAAGAACAUGGGGACAUAGAAAGGGGAUAGGUGGAGCAGUCUCUGAAGGAAAAGAAUGUGUUAAUAUAACUCUGUUCAUGAUAAUGCCCUGAGAAGCUGAAUCUUCAUAACCAGAGCAAGGCUAAUCAGAGACACCUUUGAACCAAGAAUCCUCAAAUUUGUUUGGUAAGAAAGAUCCACUGGGGUAUUUUCUAAAAAUAUAAAUUCCUGAUUCU